GGGUUACGGGUGGAAUGUUGAGAUCAUCUUCAUUGACUCUAUCUUCAUGGUUUCUGUUGGGGCUCGCCAUCUAGUUGGGUGGUAAUGAUAAAAUUAGAAAAGAAUGGGAAUAAAUAAAUAAAAUUGAAAAGCAGGGUAGAGUCCUUCAUGAUAUCAUCUUUUCUUGGUUGUUGUGGUUGUUAUCAAAUUGAGGUAGAGAGGAGAAUAGCAUGGGGUUACAAAGGAAAUAGUGCAUCCUUUUCUUCAACUUCUUUCAUGUGUCGACGUUUGCACAUGCUUGUAGAUUUCUGUUGUUGAUGUUGGUGUUGCCUUCAACUUUCAUAUUGGCGUCCUCCAUUGAAAUAGGGAGAAAGAAAGGGGAAUGACAAGGAUAUGGGAGGUAAAAGAAGAAUCCAGCUAGCCAAUUGAUGUCAUUGCAGGUAGCAGACCCACAAUACACCAGCAAUCAGUACAAAGAAACAAAUCAACCAAAUACAUAAUAACAAACAUCACAAGCACACUCACACAAGGAUUACUAACAACUAACAAGAAACGAUGCUAAACAUUGUUAUUAGAGUUAGAAGGGUCCUCCUAAGCAUAGGUUAUCUCUUCCAGCUUCAGCAUUGAUGGCACGUGCCUCCUUUAGCUUGUCCAGCGUUAACUCCACCUUCUUGAUUGUAUUGGCAGUGAGACUGUCAUAAUCUCCAGUUGCUCAGGCUUAUUUCUUUGGUGGUGAACUGAAUUCUUCAUCUAACUUGAGCAGAAAUGUGGGUAGGUGGUACUAUUUCC
rnacentral:lncRNA from 1 species